AUGGCAUCUUCUGAAACUAGCGCCGCACCGGCAGCACGGAGCUCAGAUUUGGCUGGACAUUCAACAACUCCAGAUGCUACGCUGGACACUAGCGCCGAAGCAUCACAAGGUGCCGCUGAUGGGUCUGUCAGAGUUGGCACUAAGAGAAGAAAGCUUCCAUCAUUCAUAUGGAGCGAUUUUGAGAACGUGUUUGUUGACGGGGAAUGGAAAGCCGACUGCAUCUAUUGCGCCGAAAUUCUUCCUGCAGAAGCUGCCGGUGGCACUUCACACCUGGAGGACCACCUGAUGUCGUGUGCUGAUUGGCAGGCACUGGCAGCCCCACAGGAAUCAAGGUUGUCAAAGGCUUUUGACGAUGGGGAAGCCGAUUGGGAGGAUGUUCUGUUUGAUCAAGCUGUUGCCAGGAAACAGCUUGCGAUGAUGAUCUGUGCCCAUGAUUACCCUCUGUCUAUCGUCGAUCAUGCGGGUUUUCAAAAGCUGUGUUAUGCAUUACAACCAACGUUUCAGAUGGUAUCAAGAAAUGACAUUAGAAAAGAUAUCUUGGGUAUGUAUGCAGCCGAGAAGGAUAAGAUGGUGAAGUAUUUUGCAAACUUUAAAGGUCGAGUUGCCAUUACUACGGACAUGUGGACUGCAGAACAUCAGAAGAGAGGUUACAUGGUAGUCACUGCACAUUUCCUCGAUGAAUCUUGGCAACUCAAGAGCUUUAUGUUGAGGUUUGUUUAUGUGCCUGUCCCACAUAAUGCCACAGUCAUAUGUCAAGCACUGCAUGAGUCCCUUGUUGAGUGGCAUCUCGAGAGAAAGAUGUCGACGGUGACUCUGGACAAUUGCACACCGAAUGAUGAAGGUAUGGAACAUUUGCCAGAUAAGUUGGAUUUGAGAUCUCUUCUAUUGGAGGGUAAAUAUCUGCAUAUGCGCUGUGGCGCACAUAUGCUUAAUCUGAUUGUGAAAGAUGGCAUGGAUCUCAUGGAGAAGGGCAUAGAGCGGGUUCGUGAUAGUGUUGCAUAUUGGUCAGCUACUCCUGGGAGACAUGAGAAAUUUGAAAAAAUGGCAGGGACUCUGAACAUUGAAUACAAGGAAAGGUUGUUUCUUGAUUGUAAAACCAGAUGGAAUUCAACCUACAGAAUGCUAACUAUUGCAUUAGAAUACAUCGAGAUUUUUGAAACACUAAAGACACGUGAGAAAUCAUUUAGUUGUUGUCCAACCAAAGAUGAUUGGAAGUUUGCUAAGGAAGUUUGUGACAGGCUUAAAAUUUUCUAUGAUGUCAGCGAGUCGUUUUCAGGCACUAAAUAUGUUACUGCAAAUAUGUUCUUCCGUAAAAUAUGUUGCAUUCAGUUGGCAAUACGGAAAUGGGUUGCUAGUGACAAUGAGCUUGUGCAAACAAUGUCUGAGGAAAUGAAGUGGAAAUUUGACAAAUAUUGGAAAGAUGUACUUGAUCUUAUGUCUGUUGCAACUGUUCUUGAUCCAAGGUACAAGCUUCAUAUGUUGCAAGCUAUUUUUGGUUCUCUCUAUGGAACGGAAUAUGCAGCUGUGGAGGUUGAAAAAACAAGGAAGCUGAUGGCUGAUUUGCUGAAACAAUAUCAAGAAGCUGAUGGGGUUGUGGCUACAUCAGAGCCUGUUAGCACUGCUGCUGCAGAAGCUGGUGGAGAAAUAGACAUUAUGGACAUAUUUGAUCGAUACAUGUCCUCACGGCCUACUAUCGGUGCUUCUCCAGUGCAGACAGAAUUAGACUUGUACUUGGAAGAGCAAAUUAUCCGUAGAAUACCAGAUGAAGACAUCAUAACUUGGUGGAAGUAUGGGGGUGCAAAGUAUCCUACUUUGCAAAGAAUUGCUCGUGAUAUACUGCCUAUCCCUGCGUCAGCGGUGAUAUCAGAAUCAGCCUUUAAUACCAAUGGCAGACUGCUUAGUCCACAUCGUGGCCAACUUGCGCCAAGCAUGGUAGAAGCUCUCAUGUGUAUGAAAGCUUGGUCCCGUGCUGACAUGAUAGGGGACGGCAAUUCGACCCUCUGUGCAGUAUUUCAGAGUGUUCUUGACGACGAUGAAGAGAUGAUGAAUGACUCUGAAUCUAUGAUAACUGAAGACUAG
rnacentral:rRNA from 1 species